AGGGUAAGUUUUUUUUUUUUUGACCAAUACGACCCAGUAUCUGAAUGAGAAGAUGCCUUGCCACUUUCAUCAACUGUCUUGACGAAGGAAGAGCAUAGAGGAUGGAGAAUUUCAGAAUGACCUCGACUUAGGUAGAAAUACGAUCUAAGAUAUCAACUGAUUUCUAACUCGGAUAUCAACCGACCACAGAAUUGAUGGACCAGAAGGAUCGGCAUCUGGCUUCGGAUUUAGCCGAGAUCUCAUUUUGACAUGUCCUACUAAGACUUUCAUGAGCAUUGAUGAUAUUGACAACAGCCUCUCACCUCUUCGACAUGA
rnacentral:lncRNA from 1 species